rnacentral:rRNA from 1 species
ACACUCCUACGGGAGGCAGCAGUGGGGAAUAUUGGACAAUGGGCGCAAGCCUGAUCCAGCCAUGCCGCGUGAGUGAUGAAGGCCCUAGGGUUGUAAAGCUCUUUCACCGGAGAAGAUAAUGACGGUAUCCGGAGAAGAAGCCCCGGCUAACUUCGUGCCAGCAGCCGCGGUAAUACGAAGGGGGCUAGCGUUGUUCGGAAUUACUGGGCGUAAAGCGCACGUAGGCGGAUCGAUCAGUCAGGGGUGAAAUCCCAGGGCUCAACCCUGGAACUGCCUUUGAUACUGUCGAUCUGGAGUAUGGAAGAGGUGAGUGGAAUUCCGAGUGUAGAGGUGAGAUUCGUAGAUAUUCGGAGGAACACCAGUGGCGAAGGCGGCUCACUGGUCCAUUACUGACGCUGAGGUGCGAAAGCGUGGGGAGCAAACAGGAUUAGAAACCCUAGUAGUCCCAUGA